GAGUUCAUGGAGCUGAAAAGCUGCUGUAGAAUUGACUUGGGCCACUGCAACAUGAAGUUGAGAGUAGAAUGAGAGCAAGCCCAGCUCAGUCUGCACCACAGUUGGCUUCCCUGCUUUUUUAUGUCAGAUCUUGGCUGAGAUGACAAAAUGGACUAAUUAAUACUGUUUCUGUUGGUGUCAUCUAAACCCAGGGAGUUUUGGCAGAGUAACUUUCAGUGCUGGGAAGAAGCAAGGAGAGCACUUACUUGUAGAGAGGUAGGAGCAAGGAUUCAUCUCAGAGAAAAUAUUUGUUUUGUCUACACCACUAAGAAGAGCUGUGAGGAAAAAGAUGACUUACAAGGUCUUUGAUGCAUUUAGAAUAUGAUUAGCAAUCUGUAAAAAACCACGGAGUUAAGAAUAAAAAAGCCAAUUAAGGUUACAUCCAGAAACCGUGCCAGAUCCUACUAACACUCUCUGCCUCCUCUCUCCCUGGGCUCCUUCAAUGUAGUAGACCUGAAGUCCAAGGAGACUAGAGAGAUUUUGGUUGCAUCUACAGAAACAUUCAGUCAAUGUCAACAGCCACAUUAAACCCAGACUAAAUGGAAACAGUAUUAAUCCAAUGCUAACACAGAGGCCCUCUUCCUCAUCAGCUUUUCAGAAGUUCUGAAUGUCAGCUGUUUUGCAAACUGAGUUACACUGCCUUUAUCACUCAUUGUCUCUGCCCUGCAGUGGAGCCAACUGCCUAGAGACCCAUCAGCAUUCUUGCUAAUGGCUCCCUCCAUACAGCCCUCCUGCCUCUUCAGAGGUCUCAGUAUUAUUCUUGCCAGAAGCCAAGUACAAGAGUGUGCACUCCAUGCCAGCCUAAUCGUUCUCUUUGAACUUUGGACAUCAUAUUAAGAAAUACUUGAACUCAGCAAAUUGCCAGGUGAAGACAGUGGGUGAAGUACAUUUCUUGCAGCCUAAAGAAUCAGCUUAUAAACAUUUAGUCAAAGACAUUUACUCCUACACAAAAUAACGUCCGUUUUGCAAUCAAUAGCAACACUGAACAACUGGAUUUUAAAUCAUGGUGUGUAAUCAACAGCAAGACUCAAAUGGCAGAAUCUGUAUUGUUCUUUCAUGAUCAGACAAAUUGAGAUCUCUGUUAUCUUUUAAGUAUCAAAAAUUGUGCAGUGGAGACAUUAUAUUUUCAUUAAUAUGCAUGGAAUUAUACAUCUGGCUACUGUCAGCUGUUUUAUGUUACUGGAACAAUGAAUUAACCUUACACCAUGUGGGCAACUCUGCAAAAUUAUAUAUUAUAACAAGAGCAUCCCUUUCCCACCUCAGAUGAUGGCAAUAACUUUGUAUCAUAAAACAUUAUAAAGCAGUUUAAUCUCCUUUUAUGCAUGAAGUAACUUAAUCUUUUUAUAUUGUACCAGUUCAUUUCAGUACAUCUAAUAGUAACAAUAUCUUAAUAUGAGGUGUAGUAGUAUUUUUCACUUCAUCUCUCCUGGGUUGCAGAAUUUGUUGCAGCAUCUUCAGUUCCCUAUGACAAUUCUAUUGGUUUCUUCUCUACGAUCUGUUAUACCCCAAGGAAAAUUGCAGGUGCCCUGCCAAAAAUCACUAACAUUUGAAGGGUCCCCCAAAGGCCUCUGGUUUUCCACUUCACUGCACAUAAUCGUGUGUUCCAUGACCUUCAUGACACUUUACCACAUGCCCUGAAAAAAGAGGGAGAACUAGGUAAAAAAAAAAAAGGAAAUGACCAAAAUUAAACACAU